GUGGAUUAGAUACCCGGGUAGUCCACGCCGUAAACGAUGAAUGCUAGCCGUUGGCGGGCUUGCCCGUCAGUGGCGCAGCUAACGCUUUAAGCAUUCCGCCUGGGGAGUACGGUCGCAAGAUUAAAACUCAAAGGAAUUGACGGGGGCCCGCACAAGCGGUGGAGCAUGUGGUUCAAUUCGAAGCAACGCGCAGAACCUUACCAGCCCUUGACAUGUCCCGUAUGGAUUCCAGAGACGGAGUCCUUCAGUUCGGCUGGCGGGAACACAGGUGCUGCACGGCCGUCGUCAGCU
rnacentral:rRNA from 1 species